GUUGUCAGGAGUAAGGGACAGGUGAUGUUGAGGUGUUGUCAGGUGAUGUUGAGGUGUUGUCAGGAGUAAGGGACAGGUGAUGUUGAGAUGUUGUCAGAAGUAAGAGACAGGUGAUGUUGAG